UACCUCAAAAUUCCGCAACAGUCUGUUUCAUCAGUAAAGAAUCACCGCCUGAUGAUUCUUUACUGAUGAAACAGACUGUUGCGGAAUAU
rnacentral:miRNA from 1 species